AGAGAAUUUAGUCAAAUAACACAUUCAGAUUUGUUUCCACCCUCUUUCUCUCAUUCCUGUCCUUGCGUCACUCAGGGUGAUGAUUGCAUGUCCCUUCUGACGACUCCAUGCUUGGGAAGCCCCAAUGUGUCAGACACUCCCCAAAGUGGAAGACGACUCAUCUAGCGACAGUGGUGAUGAAGGGGGGCUAUGGUUUACAGCUCGUAUUACAUAUGAAGAUGACGAUUUCAAUAAGCCAGCUCUCACAAGAAAUCUUGGCAAAGAAGGCACACCAGAUUGUCAUCAAAGGUGAGCUUCCAUUCUUGCCCAAAACUUUAUUACAAUUAGCUCUGUAGUGAGAACCUAGACA
rnacentral:lncRNA from 1 species